GGCUGUCACAACUGGGGAGGUACUACUGGCAUCUAGUGGGUAGAUGCCAGGAAUGCUGCUGAACAUUCUAAAAUGCAGAGGACGGCAGAGAGAACUGCCA